rnacentral:lncRNA from 1 species
CAAGUUCAUCUAACAUUUAUAUCAGUUAACAAUGCGAAGAGAAAUAAAUAAUUUUGAGUAUUUUGAACUAUUGUUGAUUUGUAAAUCAUUCGAGCUAAUUAUGAUUACAAAUACGUUAAAACCAGUCAUAGUGAAUUAUUCAAUCAGACAAACGAAUUUAUACAGUUAUGUUGUGGAUGAAUUAAUAUGGAUAUAUUAACAAUUAUCUUUCUCUUUCACCAUGAAAGACAAAUCUAAAAUUCCUUCUACGGGAAAUAUUGAGAAACUGUUGUAUAGCAGGAAUAUUCCCACAAUCAGGUUUAAAACUGGGAUUAUUAUGGUUCGAGACAAAUCCGGGAACAUUAUGGUUAGAGCACAAUUAUAGUUAGAUCAUUAUCCUUUUUUUUUAGUUUUAUUUUUUUUAGUUUUAAUUAUAAUCGUUUAUUAUAGAUAAUUAUCCAGUGUUGAGCAUAAUUAUAUACAGUUACUAAACAAUCACGAUUUGUUUAACUUUCUUCCAUUCCCCAUUCCAUCCGAUGAAUAUUUAUAUGUCUAUCCACAAGCCCCAGACCAAUCAGAUAUAACCAAUCUUAAGUAUUUUUGGAAUUAGUAUAGUCGGAAAAUUUUGCUAUGCAUGCUCCAAAAUCGAAAGAGUCCCUAUAAGUUAUGAUAAACGAGAAAGAUGUUCACUAGUUUAAACGUUAAAUACAAGAGAGAAAUACAACUUCAUAAUAAGAUUACAUUAAUAAACUAGAUAAAAGAGGGAAACAGAAGAGAUAGUUAUAUUCUGAAAGUGAGUUACUCAUGUUUUUAAAUAAACUAGGAAAGCAAAAGGAUGUCUCUGAAGAGGAAGAAGUAGACGCAAUGUGAACAUCUCUCACCAUUAUAUUCGUUGUAAAAUUCAUGGAUGACCCAACAGUCUGGAUAAUCCUCAUAAUGAAAGAGCUCAGCGUAAGAUCCGAAUCGUUUUGGUUCCAAAUCAGAAAUGUGGUCAAUUAGUGUCUUGGCCAUGAUAUCUACAUCUGUAAAACACUUGUUCUCUCGUUUGAAAGUAUUAAACGCGUCUAAUACUUCAUUACCUGCGCAGCGGUUUAGCGCAAUGUAAAGAAGCUUGGCUAUAGGAAUGACAUCUUUACAAUCAUUCAGUAAUGAAAUGGCGCCUUUCAUGUCGAGAGAACAGAACCCUAGCCUCAAGCUCUGUAGAUACAUAGCGUAAGGGUUUCUUUUUGCAAGACAUUUGGAGUAGAAUGAGAAGUGAACAGAGUCGGGUGAAGACAUGUUGAUGAAGUCAGGGCUUUUAUCUAAACGAACUCGGGAUAGUGUCUCGACAGAGAAAGCUGCAGAUUUCCCUUCAUGACCAGAUUUAAUCCAUAUGGAUAAGAAAACGGUAUUGCAGAGGAUUCCGAUACAAUCAGGAUAUAAAAUCAGCAAUAACUAAUUAUAAGAACUGAAAUAUUUUACAAAAAACAUAGCAACUAGUUUUACAAUAAGAACUGAAAUAUUAACAACUUAAAUUCAAAAAAUACAAUUUUUCAUUGGAUUAGAUCAACAUGUCCUGUUAUGACCCAAUCUAAAAAAAACAAAUACAAGUACUCAAAAUGGAUUAGAACUACUUUAACUGUUAAAAAAACAUCUCCAUAUGGAUACGGCUUUACGGAUAAGCAAACGGUAUUGCAGAUGUUUGUGAUACAAUCAGGAUAUGUUUCAGCAAUAACUAAUUAUAAGAACUGAAAUAUUUUACACAUAAGAUAAUAGAAAAUUGGAUAGUUCUAUCUGUAUACAAUUACGUUGAAUAGAGAUUUGUAUCAUAAAAUAUAUUAAUAAUUGGUGCAAUCAAGCUUUACUUUGAAUCAAAUCAACAAAAAUACCUUUAAUCAUUACAUAAAUUAAUGGCUUUACAAAAAAUAAUCUAAAAAAACAACUACAAUUACUAAAAAUGAAUAUAACUACUUUUCAUGUUAAAACAUCAUCUCCAUAUGGAUAAGAGUUUGUGGAUAGUUAAACGGGAUUGCACAGACUUGCGGUUUAGCAAGAUAUGCUAAUUAUAGACUAUUUUAACACAAUAAAUAAACAUAUAUACUUAUAUUUGGUACAUCAAGAACUAGGUUUACAGAAACGAAAAAACAUUUAUGGGAAUAUCUUACAAUAAGAAAUGAAAUAUUUUACAAAAACAUGGAAACUAGUUACAGAUCAUACAUUAAUUAACAACUUAAAUUCAAAAAUAAAAUUUCUCAUUGGAUUAGAUCAACUUGUCCUGUUAUGACCCAAUCUAAAAAAAUCAACUACAAGUACUCAAAAUGGAUUAGAACUACAUUACCUAUUAAAAAGCAUCUCCAUAUGGAUACGGCUUUAUGGAUAAGCAAACGGUAUUGCAGAGGUUUGCGAUACAAUCAAGAUAUGUUUCAGCAAUAACUAAUUAUAAGAACUGAAAUAUUUUACAAACAACAUAGCAACUAGUUUUACAAUAAGAACUGAAAUAUUUUACAAAAAAAAAUAGCAACUACUUAAUCAUCAUACAUAUAUUAAUUCAAAUUGGAUUAGAACAACUUGUCCUGUUAUGACCCAAUCCUUUGCAGCGUGAGCACCUGUUCUGCUGCGUCCUUCCUGUCUUAGGUUUCUACGUUUACCAUGUUAACCAACAUGUUGCAUUAGUUUGGUUAGUUUUUCAAAAGAUUAGACAAUGUACGAGAUUUACAAAAUAUUUAUCUAACCUUAUAUUCCCCUGUUGAUGGUAUUCUUGCUACCUUAGGCCUCCCUGAUGGUCUCCGAGUAUAUGGUGGAAGCAUGGAACGGUGUGGGAUCUCUUCGGGUAUGUCUUCUUCUUUGCCAUUUGCUUCAGGGAAUACUGCUCCUUUGUAACUCGCAACCCAUGAGUGUGGUUUGAAAUAAUCAUCAACUAAAGCCUUGUACGAGAGGUUAAUGCUAUUGGCAGCCACCAAAGCAUGACCACAUGGUAUCUUCAGUUUAUCAUAUCUCUUGCAGGUGCACUGCUUCUUUUCUAGAUCAACAACAUUGCUACCACCUAGCUUCCCAACUACCUCGUAGCUCCAGCUGGUUACCCUACCAACCUUGCUUCCACUUGAUGUUGUCAAGUUUUUUGAAAUUUGCUUGUCAACCUCCGGAGGUACUGGACCUGAAUGUGCUUGUGACUUCUUCCGACGCGCGUUGAACCAACGUGUCAACAUAGACCUAAUAAAUCUUAGCAAUUCCACAAUAUGUGACGAUCUCCCCUUGAACAACGCCUUGUUUAACGUUUCAGCAAUAUUGCUAGUCAUCAGAUUGAAACGCUGGCCAGGGAAAUAUAGCCUUGUCCAAUGAGCCAUCCCUACGUCGUGUAGAUACUUUAUGCAAAGGGGGUUAAUGGCAUUAAUCUGAUUAUAAAGCGUUUUAAACUUUCCACUCGUAAACUCAUAUCCAGCGUUUUUCACUAACUGCGUCAAUCCUCUGUUCUUGAACCUUGCUUGUAUAUUCCUACAUAGGUGAAUAAUACAUGCACCAUGAUGUGCUUGCGGAAAUACCUUCUUCACCCCUACCUUUAUCGAUUCGUGCCUAUCUGAUAAUAUAGUGAGUGUGUUGCUGUCAGCUAUUAUCCUCUCCAACUUUGUAAAGAACCAAGUCCAUGCAUCAUCGUUCUCACUAUCCACCACAGCAAAUGCGAGUGGAUACACUUGGAAGUUUGCAUCUUGACCACUUGCUGUGAGUAAACCCCCUUGUAUUUUCCUUUCAAAUGUGUUCCAUCCACACCCAAAAUCCUUCUCAGAUGCUUAAAACCUUGUAUUGAAGCCCCAAAAGCUAAAACAUAUAUAAAAACCUCUCUUUCCUUUCAUCUUCAAUAUCAGGUUCGGUUUCUAUAUGUGUUAUCGUCCCUAGAUUUGUUAACUUCAGAAGAUGCAAAUAUUCAGCCAAAUUGCUAUAAGACUCUUCAUCACUCCCGCCAACAUCUGUUAAAGCUGAUUCCCUAGCUCUCCAACACUUUUUGUAUGACGCAGAAACCCUCAAAUCUUCUAGUACAAGUUGCUGAAGAUCCAUUGGAACAGGACCAGCAGAAGCUUCACUGUAUUUUGCCUUAAAUACAGAUGCAAUCACCUUUGACGUUGCUUUCUUCAUGUACUGCCUUCUAGUAUCAACCGAACAUGUGUGUUGAAGCUGCGCUUUCUUAAUUUCAUAGUAACCUGUGCCAUUCAUUACAGUGGCCAAUAUUCUCCAAUCACAUUUCUCAUCUGAGCAACUGAGAACAAAAUAAUUCCAUUUUGUUCUUGUUUGCUUGAAAUGAAACUGAUUCUUUAUCGCAAAUAUAGCCAAUCCUAUUUGGCAAUCUUCUUUGCUCGCAUACACUUUUCCCUGGUAUAUACCUUUACCAUCAUCAUCAAUGUCCAAAUCAGGUAAGUUAUCAACUUCAUACUCGAUGUCCUCAAACAAAGGUGGGAUGUCAAACUCCUCGUCAUCCACUUCCUCCAACUUUUUGACCUCAUUACUCGUUUCCUGAGAGCUUCCAACUCCACCGACCAUCUUUCCUUUCAUAACUUGUGGGGUCUUUUUUGUAUGCUCUGUCUUUAUACUUUCGCCAGCCCCAUUCACAUAUAUAGCGUGAUCAAAGACUCCGCUGCCAGUACAGAAAACCACUUCAUCCGGAUUGGAGCCCACAACCUUAUUGUUAGACCCGUACCUUACAUCUAAACCUCCUGUUGCCAUCAACUCAUUAGCAUUGGAGCCACCAUAAUCAUCUGUUAAGAAAUUUGACCAAAACUCCUUAUCAUAACCGCCACAGGGCAUACUAUCUUCAGGUUUUUCCGUGACUGCUUCAACUUCCUCUGUAUCGUUAUCAACGAAAAACAACUUUUCAACAUCAUUGUUAAAACCUUCGUUAUCAGUAUCAUUCCGUGACGAUUUAUGCCCACUGUUACUUCCUAUGUUUGCUUCUGCUUGUUCCAAUUCCUCCAUGAAUUCGUCAUCACGAGGAGUCAACACAAUUGUAGGAGUUUUUGAAACAAAUACAAGUACUCAAAAUGGAUUAGAACUACUUUAACUGUUAAAAAAACAUCUCCAUAUGGAUAUGGCUUUAUGGAUAAGCAAACGGUAUUGCAGAUGUUUGUGAUACAAUCAGGAUAUGUUUCAGCAAUAACUAAUUAUAAGAACUGAAAUAUUUUACACAUAAGAUAAUAGAAAAUUGGAUAGUGAUAAUAACUGAGUGACUUCAAUGAUUCUUCCAGCCCAAAACAAGGCUUCUCUCCUCCAGAAAAAUAAUUAGGAUUAUUAUAUUAUUAUUUGUUUUGUUUCCUCGAAUAAAAAAGAGAAUCCGAGAACUUUUUAAGACAAAAGCCAAGUCUUCGAAACCUUAUGAGAUGUGAUAGGGUUACAAGGGUAAAACAGGAACUCAGAAUAAAAAUAAGUUAAUCGAGAAAGCUCCAAAUAAACACCACUCGUCCGCCUCUCUGUCUCUCACCAAAAUAAAAAACUCAAUCUCUCUCUCUCUCUCUCUCCAUCGAGAAACACUAAACUGCUAUAAUCAUUACCUCUCUUCGAUUUCUCAAACCCUAUCUGGCUCUCUACCCAUAUGCUUCAGAUCCGCAUUAAAAAAGCUAAGUUUUUUGUUAUGUCCUUCUUUCUUAUUUGAUCAGUUUGUUCUUGUUUCACGAUUUUAACCUGAGAUUUUUUAUAUAUUUUCUCCAGAUCUGCUAUCCGCAGUCAUCUGUUCAUAGGAAAAGGCAAGUUUUUUUUCCAUCUCUACUUCAGAUCUGAAAAAGAUGGAUUGUUCUUCUUGUGUUGUCCGGUUUCAUCAAUUUAAUCUGUUCUUUGUUAUUAUAUUUUACAGAUCUGGCUUUACUUUUAGAGAUUAUCUCAGAUCCAGCCUUUUACCCAAUUGAAGGCAAGUUCACAUACUCUGUUUUUUUUGUCUUGGUUUUAAUUUCUCGGUUUUUUACAUGUAACAGAUGUUUUAAGCAUGAUUUUUUGUUUAAACAGUUUGUUUUUCCUACCCUUAAAACUUCUCUGAAUUAAUAUCCCAUUUAUAUGACCACUCUAAUGUCUUCUUAUACGACUACGCAAGUGUUGCAUAUUCUUGACCUUUUCACACUUCAUUUGCAUUUUAGUCUAACAAUAUAAAUCCGCAAAUAUCUUGUGUUUAUACUUAUUGAAAUUAGUCUUCCGACAUAUAUAAUCUAGGAUCUAUUUGGAUUAUUUGGGCCAUCAGUCUCAUUCGUUUCAUUAACAUCUGAGUCUUUGAACUUUGUUUAUCUUUCCUAGCUUGAUAUUUUAAUAUUAGUUUUUUUGCGCCUCUUUGUUUUUGAUCAUUUAUUCUCUCAAUUGGAUAGUAUAGUGAAGUAAAUAAUGUAGCUAUGACUUUACCUGUAGCAUUUACCUGUAGCAUCUUAAAAAUAUGAAUUAAAAAUGAUUUAGCUAAUUUGGGCUUAUGUUUAUAAGCAUAGAAGUUUAUACUACAAGUUCGUUUAGAUUUUUCCAGUAUCAACUCAAACAUAGUUUUUACUCAAGCAUAGUUUUUACUCAAGCAUAGUUUUUACUCACACUAAAACCCACAUGUAGUGUGCAAAAGUAAGUACCCCCCCACCUCUGUUCCUCACGGUUUUUCUGCAAAGGACCCACCCUCCUUGAACUUCAGCGUCCAUCACAAUGUCCCCAUCAUCAUCAAACCUGUACAAGCCAGUGGCGAUCCUAACAUUGUAGAAGUUGAUAGCAUUUUUGCAAGUGGAGGGAGCACUUGUGUUUCUCCACGUAUUGCUGUCUUGAUUAAAGCGGUUGUCAACUCUGUAAAGUCCCUCUACUUCAAUAGGUAUGGUAAAUGAGUUUGAUUCUGGGAAUAGGUUGUGGUUGUUAUAAAGAAUGCUCCACUCAGCAGCGUUGAGCCAGCGCUGUGUUGAUGUUUGAAGCACAGCUGCUACAUCUGUCAAAAAUAGCAACCAAACAUAUGAGAUUUAUAUAUAUAUUAUAAGCAACUGUUUUAUUCUGAAAUUUUUAAAUCUUGCCUUAAUUGUACAAAUUCCAUAGAUCUAGGAGACUAUUCUAAGAUUCCAUAGAUCUGUAACACUGUGCUACGAUUUCUACACUGUUCUAAGAUUCCAUAGAUCUGUAACACUGUACUACGAUUUCUACACUGUUCUAAGAUUCCAUAGAUCAUAACUUUUCUAAGAUUUCUACACUGUUACCAAUUCCAUAGAUUGUAGCCUCGAUUUCCCAAAUUCACAGAUCUACUCUAAUUUUAAAUACAUUCCUCCAAUUCCCAAACUCACCAAUGUUUCUUGAUACUUUCAAUUUCAAUUUCUUUAUUACCCCAAAUUCGCUACCCCUAUAUCUUGCUUCUGAGAAUAUAAUCGUUUUUUAUUACCUUCAUUUCCUUCAGGUAGGUCCAUAUGCUGAAGAUUUAUCGCAGGAGCGACCACUACGGGAGCCGCCAUUGGAGAUUCUCUGUGAGAGAGAGAGAGAGAAAUAGUUUGAGAAUCAAUCUUCUGUAUUUUAUUGUGUAGAUCAAGUUAUUUAGUAUAUGCUAGUACUUAUGGUUAAAAUAGACUAUUAUUAAAAUUCAAAAGUAAUAAAGCCAACGAGUACACUAAACUCAGAUUAUAUUUUCCAAAACUAUUGCUAAAGAAUAUCAAUACGUACACUAGAUAUAGAAAUCGGAAUUAGGUACGUUGUGAUCCAUUUCAGCUACUGUUAGGGGUAAGAUUUGGGCUUGCUUGGCCCAAGGCCCAAAUCCAAGUCAAAGGCCUAAGCAGAAUGUUAAGUCAAGAGGGUAGGCUCGUCAAAAUCCUGGAGGAGUGUCCUACACGCAGAAGGCUAUAAAUACGGAAUAGCAUGUCUUGUCAAAGGGGGAUUCCGCCGGACACGCAGAGACACAGAGCAGCUCGUCAGCUCACCCGUCCGAAGUAUCCCGCCAGCCGGUCCGUCUCAAGCAGCUCGUCAGCUCACCCGUCUCAAGCAGCUCGUCAGCUCUCCCCUCCGAAGUAUCCCGCCAGCCGGUCCGUAUCAAGCAGCUCGUCAGCUCACCCGUCUCAAGCAGCUCGUCAGCUCUCCCCUCCGAAGUAUCCCGCCAGCCGGUCCGUCUCAAACAGCUCGUCAGCUCACCCGUCUCAAGCAGCUCGUCAGCUCACCCGUCCGAAGUAUCCCGCCAGCCGGUCCGUCUCAAGCAGCUCGUCAGCUCACCCGUCUCAAGCAGAUCGUCAGCUCACCCGUCUCAAGCAGCUCGUCAGCUCUCCCCUCCGAAGUAUCCCGCCAGCCGGUCCGUCUCAAGCAGCUCGUCAGCUCACCCGUCUCAAUCAGCUCGUCAGCUCUCCCCUCCGAAGUAUCCCGCCAGCCGGUCCGUCUCAAACAGCUCGUCAGCUCACCCGUCCGAAGUAUCCCGCCAGCCGGUUCGUCUCAAGCAGCUCGUCAGCUCACCCGUCUCAAGCAGCUCGUCAGCUCACCCGUCUCAAGCAGCUCGUCAGCUCACCCGUCUCAAGCAGCUCGUCAGCUCACCCGUAUCAAGCAGCUCGUCAGCUCACCCGUCCAAAGUACCUCGUCUGCCCAUCCAUCUUGAGUAACUCGUUUACUCGUCCGUCCGAAGUGUCUCUCCGACCUGCCCGCCCAAAAUAACUAACCUACUCGCACGUCUCGAGAAGCCAUCCAGCUCGUCGCACAUCUGCCGGCUCGUCAAUUACCUGCCGACCUUCCUCCAAUAAUGGCCUAGCUCGUUUAUCACAAUAUGAACUACGUGUGGCUUGAUCCCUUUCUAAGGGUACGUAGGCAACCUUUUACAAGGUUCAGCUAUAAAACGAAUAAACUCUAUUCUUCCUCGGAAGAUCGUCUUCCGGCCUCAAGCUCGUCUUUCAUCUACAAUCGGCUCGUUCUUACUCCAUUUAUGCUCGUUGAAGAAAUCAUCAUUUGUAAUCCGUCCAAUCCGCCUAAGUCGCGGGCUCGUCAUUAAUAGAAAGAUUCUUCUUCCUUCCCUAGAGAUCCCAUUUUCGUACUUGUGUGAUUCGUGCAUCAACAGCUACCAUAAACUAUUAAUUGUAGUGAGUAAGUGGACUUUAGAUUCAUAUAGAGUUAUGCGAUUCGGUUGAACGUAUCAUACGAAUCUCAGUGUCUACCUAAUUAAUACACAUAUAAUGCAAAAAGAACAAACGCAUACUAUAGAUGAUAAGACGUGAUUGGACACAUUAAACACAUAGUUUACGGCAUUACAUAAACCGAUACACAUAAUUAAUUACGUGUUACUUCUGUGGCGUGUAGUAGAAAGACUAGCUGCAUAUGGCACCUAAUUAAUACUCAUAUAUGGUUCAUGCGAAAUGCUGAUAUGUAUAAGGUAAUAUAUACCACCACUUUGGUACCACAAUGCAACAUCUAAAUUCGAUUAUGAUAAGCUAUGAUAAGCUAUCUUCUCAAUAUCAAUUAAUCGCUUCUUUAUUCUAAUACCACUCCUUAAUAUAUGCCUAUCAUAUCAUUAUUUCACAACGCAUGUUUACUUUUGUUAUGAAAUAGUUUUGUUUAAAGGGUGGUAACGUAAUUUAUGGGUUCCAUUAGGAUUGUGAUUUAUUUUCUCUCCUCAUCCUUAUGCAUGUAAGAAUUUGCAUUUUUAUAAAUAUAUACUAUGAAUUCAGUCCAACCUUACAGUGUGAACAAUUUAAUUAAACGAAGCAUAAUCCUAAAAGAAAAUAAAACUAAAAAAAAAUAGUUAAGAUGGUAUAAGAUAAUUUUAUUAAGUUAAGAUGUUGCACUUUUCACUAAGUAAAUCAAACAUUUACAUAGUGAUUUGUCAUAAUGUGCAUAUUCCAUUUUUUCGGGUCUUUCAUUUCCAUAUUCCUCAGCUCUUUCAUAUAUUGAAGAUUGAAGAGAAUAAGAAAGACGCUUUUUAUAGGAAACGAAUUAAAGAGUGUUGACUUGCCGUAAAAGUAACUUAAAUUGUUCGUCGCCUGAGCAUGGAUUUAUAUAAACGUGAAGUACUAUACAAAACCCUAACCAACAUUUGAUCAAACGACAAUGAUGUCGGAACUUCCAGAGCAUUUGUUAGAAGAGAUACUCUACCGCGUUCCAGCUAUGUCUUUGAAACAGUUAGGGUCUACUUGCAAAGGAUGGAACUGUUUAUUCAAGGAUAGGAGAUUCACAAGAAAACACUUGGAUAAAGGCCCAAAGCAGUUUCUGAUUCACAUGUCUAAAGGGCUUAGGGUACGCUCGAUGAGUGUCGAUCUCCAUAGACUUCCACAUGUAAAAGUCACAGUUGAAUUUACCCUAAUCAACCCUAAAUAUCCUAGUUGUCUAGAUCAAGAUCAAUUCGAGAUAUAUAAAGUCUCUCACUGCGACGGCUUAUUGUUAUGCGUCUGCGUCACCAAGGAGGACAAUACUUGGCUCGCGGUAUGGAACCCGUGUACUGGUCAAACAAGGUGGAUUCAACCCAUGACUUAUAUGACAACUAUACUCUCGGAUCCUACCAAAAUAAUAGCUACAAUAUAUUGGCACACACUGGUUUUGGCUACGACCACGAAUUCCAAAUUUAUGAAAUUAACUCCAAUUCAUGGAGGAUUAUUGAUGCCACUUUGGACUUCAAAUUAGGGUAUAUUGGUCGUGGCGUGUCUUUGAAGGGAAAGACUUACUGGAUUGCUAGUGGUGAAGAAGAGAAACGGCUUGGCAAAUUCUUAAUCAGUUUUGAUUAUACGACAGAAAGAUUUGAACGUCUAUGUCUUCCGAAUAAGUAUCCUUGUUAUGCAACUCUGGCUCUAUCCGUUGUUAGAGAAGAGAAACUUUCCAUGUUAUCGCAACGCGGAAUUAAAUCAAAGGCAGAAAUAUGGGUGACAAAUAAGAUUGGUGAGACACAAGUGGUGUCGUGGAGCAUGGUCUUAGCUUUGGAUUUGCAGCCUAAACGUUGUAUUGGGGAAAGCGGAAGUUUCUUGGUCGACGAGAAGAAGAGAGUGGUCGUGUGUUGUGAUAAUAUUAGAGACCAAGGAAAAACCACGGUACACAUUUUUGGAGAGGACAACAAAGUGAAACAAGUGGGUUUUGAAGUCGGAUCAUCUCUGUAAUGUAUGUUUUAUUAUGUUCCAAGUUUGACUCAAAUCUACCAAGGUAUCACAGGCAAAAGAAAAAGGGACGAAUGAUCAUAGUGUUUGGUGUGGAUCUUGGAGCAACUAUCAGAUUUUUCAAUUAUGAUAAGUUUUCUUCUCAAUUUCAAUUAAUCGCUUCUUUAUGCCAUAAUUUAGAGGCAAUUGCUGUAAUAUUUCUAAAUUUUUUAGGCAUUCUUUACUUUGUACUUCUCCUUUUAAUUAUAUAGGUAGAUUUGAUGAUAAUUAGAAGAUUAAGACUUCAAAAAUGGAGAUUAUGUGAAAUUGAGAAAAGCAUCACACAAAGAAAAUGGUUUUUGGUGGAACAAUUGGGAUAUUUGCAUAACAUGAAUUUUGAUUCCGGUUUACUAUACAUUAUUUGUUUCUUGAUUCCGGUUUAGUAUAUCCUAGUACUUACUUAAAUCAAUAAUCCGGGCAUGGUUAAAAUUAAUCAGACGUUGAAUCAAUGAGACUCCCCGUCACCGUCAAAGCCACUAAGCCGUCGUUUCUCGUCAUUUGGAUCCGAUACUCCUCCGCCGCGUCGUCGCCGACAGUCUCCUUGAAUCCAGUAAACCUCUCUCCCGCACACGCUUACAUGUAUAUGCGACUUUAUUAUCCAUUGGAAUCAUUUUGAGUGUGUUUUUUUUGUCUUGGGGUUCAAUACUGUAGAGUGGACGAUUACAGCAAACUCUCGCAGGAUCUGUGGAAGUGAAAGGAAAAUCUCUGCACUCCGGUAAGUUCUCGACGGUGAAGCUAAAUCCGGAGAUCGCCGGAGCUGGUAGGUUCUUCGAGUUUCGAUCCAGAUUCAUCCCUGCGUCGAUUGAAUUUGCUCAGGAAUCGCCUCUUUGCACGACGCUGUUGAAAGAUGAGCUCAAAAUCCGAACCGUUGAGCAUUUGUUAUCAGCUCUUGAGGCGAAGGGAGUUGAUAAUUGCAGGAUUCAAAUCGAGAGCGAAAGUUCCGAUGAUCGAGAAGUCGAGGUUUGUUACCUGAAUACAUACAUUUUGAGUAAUCAUAGGUCGAAUCAAUGUCUCGUAUUGUCUAUUUUGACUGGAUUUGUAUGCUAUAGAGAUUGUCAACAUCUUGCUGUGCAGUGUAGCUCUUAGUUUUAUAGACUUGGUACACUGGAGGAGAUGAUGAGUGUAGGCAACACUAACCAAGUGACAGGUCCCUAUUUUUGAUGGAUCAGCUAAAGAAUGGGUCGAUGCGAUACAAGGAGUUGGCAUAAACGCGGCUCAAAACCAUGAUGGUGAAAGUGUAGAGAAGAUGGUCGCACAUGUGAACAAGCCUGUGUAUGUUUGCAAGAACGAUACUUUUGUUGCUGCAUUUCCGGCUCUAGAGACUCGGAUCACUUGUGGUAUCGACUUCCCACAGGUUCAGUCUAAUGGCAUUUUGACUUAUUUUCUGCUUGUACAUAAAUUGUUAUUGACUUGGUCUGUUGUGUAUGAUGAUGAACUUUACAGGUGCCUGCUAUAGGCUGCCAAUGGUUUUCUUGGAGACCUAUCCAUGAGUCUUCUUUUGCAAAGGAUAUCGCAUCAUCAAGAACCUUCUGUGUCUAUGAAGAGGUUAGUUAGAUCCAUUGUUGUUGCUUAGGAGCUUUGGAAUCAGUAAACUGGUGUUCGUUCUUCAACCAUCUGUGUCUGAGGGUUUUGUUUGCAGGUGGAGCGUAUGCGUGAAGCAGGGCUCAUUAAAGGAGGUUCUCUGGAUAACGCCAUAGUUUGUAGGUAAAUAAUCUUGCAUAUUGAUGACUAAAGGGACACAAUAUUCAACUGAAACUGUCUCUAAUGCAGCGCUGAGCAUGGAUGGAUGAAUCCUCCUCUGCGGUUUGAUGAUGAAGCAUGUCGACAUAAGAUUCUUGACCUAAUCGGUGACCUCUCCCUUGUUUCACGGGGCGGAAAUGGAGGACUCCCCGUGGCUCACAUAGUCGCAUAUAAGGUAAAUAAUACUAGCUUAACAUCUUAUAGUUUGCACAAAAAAGAAAAAAAAAAAACAUCUUAUAGUUUUCUCGAGAAAAGAAAACAAUAGUAUUAUCUUUCAAAUGCAGGCGGGUCAUGCACUGCACACUGACUUAGCACGUCACCUUACCAUGGACUGAAGAGUAUGUGCUCGUUGUCAACCAUAUCCCGCAAAAGCCUUGAUCGUUUCUGUUUCUUUUUGGAUUCGUUAUCCAAAGAUGGUACCAAUGUGGGAUUUUUGUUUGUUCAAUGGAAGAUCAUUACUCUUGUGAAUACAGUAAAAUUUGUAACAUUAAACUAUUUUAGGUACUAAUCAUAGGGACAUUUUAACCGAUCAAACUGUUCCAAAACCAAAUUGAAUUGAAACUUAAGUUGUAGUUCAAUAAUAGUUUUACUCUGUACCAAUUUAACAUAUUGAAACUGAAAAUAAAAGAAAAUGGAACAGAACUAAUAAAAAUAAUAAAAUAAUUUAAAACGAAAAAGAAUUUGACUUGGAUACAUUUUUCACAUUAGGAAAAGGUAAAUUCCUCUCCUUUUUUAUUUUUAUUUUUUUACUCGUAUUUAUAAUUGUUGUACAUUAUAACGUAUUAGGAUACGUAUUAAGAGAGAAGAACCCUAAUUACUUACGAGAGAGGAGAACCCUAAUUUUCAAUUGUGGUCGAAAAUUGGAAGAAUGAGGAGGAGGAGGUGCGAUCUUCAACCGAAGAGAACGAGAAUGUGCGAUCUUCAACCGAAGAGAACGAGUAUGUGCGAUCUUCCACCGAAGCUGGUAGGGGAGAAGAUCCUCACGAGGAUUCCGAUAACAUCUCUGAGAGCGGUGCGAUCCACUUGCAAAUUAUGGAACGCUUUAACCAAAGAUCGGGUUCUGGGUAAAGCAGCGGCGCAGUUUUUGGGGUUUAUGACGAUGGAUUCAAAGGUCUGUUCAGUUAGAUUCCAUCUCCGUCGCAGCAAGGAGGAAGAAGAAGACACGAUGGAUCUAUCUAUAAAGCAGGUAGAUUUGCUUAAUCAAGUCGAGAUAUCUAGAGUGUAUCACUGCGACGGCUUGUUGUUAUGCGUGGCUAAGGACAACUCGAGGGUCGUGGUUUGGAACCCUUAUUUGGGGCAAACAAGAUGGAUCAGACCCAGAACAGAAUCCAACAUAGGAGACAGCUAUGCUCUUGGAUACGACAUCAACCGUAACCACAAAAUCUUGAGGAUGGUGCAGACAAGAAACGUUUCCGUUUACAGGUACGAAAUCUACGACUUGCGCUCUAAUUCAUGGAGGGUUCUCGAGGUCACUCCCAACGGGGAAAUGGACCCUAAUCAUCCCCUCUACGGCGUUUCUGUGAAGGGAAAUACCUACUUUUUUGCGCAUGAGGAUAGCAGCAGUGGUGAAAUUGAUGAAGAUGGCGACAUAAUCGAUCUUGAAGAUUUCUUACUCUGUUUUGAUUUUACAACAGAGACAUUUGGUCUGCGUCUGCCUCUUCCGUUUCACUCUACUAUCGAUGCGACUGUGACCCUCUCUUGUGUUAGAGACCAGCAGCUCGCGGUGCUAUAUCAUAAUGAGGGUCUUCACAGUGAUGAUCGGUUUACCACAGUUGAGUUUUGGGUUACUACUAGUAUUGAGCCCAACUCUGUGUCCUGGAGCAAGUUUUUGACAGUGGAUAUGAGACCAUUGGCACUCACUGGUGUUCGGUUUGACAAUGAUAUGGGUGCCACCUUCUUCAUUGACGAGGAUGAGAAAGUCGCUGUGGUUUUCGAUCUAGACGGAUACCUAAGCACCGAGAGCGCUCGUUACCACACCGCUUUUAUCAGUGGAAAGGAUGGAUUCUUUAAACCUGUGACUCUAGGAGUAGCUCCCAAUGUCGGGGAACCUUGUCCCAGAACCGGGCAUAUUCCGACUACAUAUCGUCCCCCGCUUGUCUGCUCGUCUACUUACCUUCCGAGUUUAGUGCAAGUCAACCAACAGCGCAAAAGGAAAGAAAGACAUGUUUAGUUUUCUGUUCCUUGCAGUUCUCAAGACUGCUAGUCAAUUCUCAGUUACAUUUCCAUGUUAUCUUUCUCCUCUUUUAGUUUCUCUUCUCAAACUUACUCUUGUCAUGGUUUAAGUUUCUUACUUUUCGUCAGUGAGAUGGUUAGGUACCUUAUUUGUUUCUUGCAUUGUCGUCUGCUAGUAAAUUUAUCAAAGCAUUGUUCUAGUCACUUGUUCACUUGCACCAUCCUUAAGCAAAGCAUGACAUGGUUUCAUGUACUGUUAGCCCAAUUAUGGAGUACAUAUCUCAUAUAAGUUAGUCUGUUUCUGCGUUUACUUCUAAGUUAGUCCCAAUUAUGGAGUACAUAUCUCAUACAUAUCUUAUAUAUACGAAAAGUGAUAUCUGAUCUCAUCUCAUGUAUGUUGUGUUUCUUACACCAUUAUGAAUACUAUCUGGCCUUUACAGGUUCGUCCUGUAGUGAAAGAAGUACUAGACACAUUUUGGGUAGGUGCUUAGCUAGGAACCAAAUAAAAACUGAAAGACCCUCGGCAAUUUUUGUCGCUAGGCAUGCUUAAAUAACCAUAGCUUUCUGCUUUCCACAUUUCACAAAUUAAGUAAAAGUGGAGGAACAAGUCGAAUUUUUAUGAUAGAAACAAUGGGAAGAUGGCAAGGAACAUUUUGCAUUGGCAAAUAUUAUUACAGGGAGGCACUAUUCGAACACAGCAGAUUUUCUCAUUCAGGCUAGUCUACGUCAGCUUCUCGGAAUCCUUUUUCUCUACGAUUUUGAUGAAAUUGCGGACAAUUGUCUUGCCCUCAGUUGUUAUAAUACUCUCCGGAUGAAAUUGAACUCCCUGUGAACAAUGUUUACAAGACUUCAAGAGUUCUGUUUUGAAUGGAGGGGGCAAUAAGAUUACAGUACACACUUGUGCGGGUUUUACCUGUAUAUGCUUGUACUUUCUGUGACGGGCAGCCAUAACCAGACCAUCUUCUGUCCAUGCUGUAACCUCGAGCUCAUCACUAGGAAAUGUAUCUUUUUCGAUCACGAGACUGUGAUAUCUACCUACAAUGAAAGGGCUGAAACCAACCAGAUUUGUUUUAUUACACAUUUUUACAGACUUAUGAUUAACUAUAUUAGACAACACACAAAAAAAAUUGAUUUUGAUUCAUACUUUGAUAAUCCAGAGAACAAGCCUUCUUCUCCUUUCUCAUCAUAGUGAACCAUUGAGCUUUUCCCAUGCAUAACACCAAAUGGUGACCGCACAAUCUUUCCUAAUCAAUGUUCAAACAAAAUUGCAUUUAAGCUGUGGAUGCAUAGAAUAAAGAACAAAACCAUGUUUGAACACUGAUACGGGAAAAUAAGAUGUCUUGUUUAUAUGCAACUAACCUCCAAAUGCUUCUCCUAUACACUGCAAACCCAUACAUACUCCAAAUAAAGGAACAAGUGGUCCGAGUUCCAAAACAGUUUGCAAGGAAAUCCCAGAGUCUUGAGGGGUACCUAUCAAAUUCAAGAAAAGUGUUAUCCACUUCUCCAGCAUAUAAUUAUAGGAGAAAUUUCAGAGGCCAAAAUAUUUACCAGGUCCAGGAGAAAUCAACACUCCUCUUGGAUUUUUUCUGCAAGAGGGAGAGAAUGAUAAAGGAAUGAACAUCAGUCGAUUAGCCAGAUUACGUUUUAAACAGAAUGCAUAUAGUUUCUUCUUACCUUUUCAGCUCUUCUACUGUAAGUUCAUCAUUGCGGUAAACUUCAAAAUGGCAUUGUAGCUCUCCCAUAUACUGUAGAAAUAGAUAGCAAUUCUCAAAAUUUUGUUUAUACUAAAGCAGAAGAAACCAUAUCAAGAGAACGAUCACAAUAAAUAGUAUGCACCUGACACUAUUCUGCGUGGAGAACUAGAAGUAAGACAUGAUCAAAUUGUAUAUUUGGUAUCUAUGUGCGUUAAGUCAGAUAUUCAGAGCAGCCAAAAUCUCAUGAGAAAGCGAGAUAUUUCAACUAGGAAUAACAAAUCUAAAGUCAAAAAUAGCAACUCAGGAAAUCGCCAAUUCAAACUUUGAACAUGAUUAAAGAUUCUACUUAAAAGACCAGACUUUAGGCAGCAAAGAAGUGAUGUGUUAGCUUUUGCUGGAUCAACAAUUACUCCUUACAACGACAAACAAGCAACGAGGAGCUUUCGACAAUAAGAUUCGAUGGCACGACAUAGCAACGACUCUGAUCACAUUAACAACAGAUGGUCAACAUUACAUAGUCUUAUCUAUUAGCAAGUCGAAAGUAGAUUGGAUUGUGAACUAAUGAGAUUCUAACAUUCAAUCACAAUGCAUAUACUUGAAUACAUUUCUAACAAAAUGCAAAUUCAGCUGCUUUCACAUCAAAAAUCUAACGAGCCUAGUAAGAUUUGAGAUUGUGUUAGAAAUGAAACCUGGCAGAGAUUGUAAGUGAAGCUGUCGUAAUUAUCAAUCACGAUGAUAGGACCAUUCUGUUUAGAGGAAUUGAUAACAACGGAAGGUAUCGAAUUCGAUUCUGCCAUUUCAAUAGAAGCUUCAGCAAAUGUACAUCUCUACGACUCUUCCCCAAAACUGAAAACUCCUAUAUCACAGAAGUAUAUUUGGGAUCUAAGUGAGAUAUUCAGAGCAGCCAACAAGGAAUAACCCAAUCUAACAAUAGCAACUCAGAAAAUCACCAAUUUUCAAACUUUAAACAAGAUAAAAGACUUAAAAGACCAGACUGUAGGCAGCUAAGAAGUAAUGUAUUAGCUAUUGCUGAAUCAAAAAUUACUCCUGGCAAGGACAAAGAAGCAAGGAGGAGCUUUUUCAAAUAUAUACAAAACCAAAAAAAAUUACUCAUCUAGAGAACUAGUCUUACGUGAAUAAGAUUCGAUGGUGCCGCAUAACGACUCAGUCUGAUCACAUAACAAGAGAGAAAUUACAUUACAUAGUCUUGUAUAUAAGCAAGUCGAGACUAGAUUGAUUGUGAAAUAAAGAGAUUCUAACAAUCAAUCGAGAUGCAUACUUGAAUACAAUUCAUAUGAAUCAAGGACUUGCAAUUAGCCAGGACCCUAAUUGAUUAAGACAUGGUUGACCAAAAAAACAAAACUAUUAGAAAUUAUGGUCAAAGUAGUAGCUACAGAGAUUAGAAAUCUAUUCCAAUGGUCUUAGCUCUAACGUCAACAAAGGUUUAAUCAUCCCCUAAACUUCAAGUUUCAACUUAGUCCGAAUCAGGAGAAAGACUAUGAGGGAAGUUAUUUGGACAAAUGGUUUAAUGCUCUACUAAAGGGGAAUCGAUCAGAUUCUAAUUGUAACAUUUUGGGUACCUGGAGGUUGAAGAUCCUUCGAAGAACGAAGUGAGCCGCCUCGCGAACAUUCUGUUCAGGUGAUGUUGACCCGACUCGCUGAUUCGACCCGGAGCUGGUUUUGAAACGGUCAAGGAUAUAAGUGGCGCUGGAUUGAUGAGGAAAUCGCUAUCAAUUGAGAUAGACUGCGAAUAGUACGAGAACACCAUCAUUUUGGAUGCUUUGACGCAGAUUCAUUCAUGGCUUCUAGGUCUUUUAUUACUUCAUUAGUUGUUGACUUAAAGAAAUAUAUCUAAGUAACGUUUAAUGAUGUGGGGGAUAUUAAGCAGCCAGGUUUUACACUCAGCUAUAGUCAUCUUUUCGUAUAAGCAUCUAAUUCGACAAAUGUAUAGUAUAGUCAUCUUUUCGUAUAAGCAUAUAUAGUAUAGUCAUCGUAUAAGCAUAUAUACCGUUUUCAAUUUAAUGGUCACACGAUCCUUUCUGAAAAAAAAAAAAAAAUUAUCAUUAAACAAGCUUCUGAUCAACAAAAUAAUAUCCCAAAAAGGUGGAUUAAAUUUUUGUUUUCUUCAUAGACAUAAGGAAAUUAACUUUACAGUCUGACCAUUGAUUAACUUUCAGCAAUGUGCACAACUGCCAUUUUGAUAACACCAUAGUUUAAGAUGCCAAAAAAACAAAGGAAGAUGGAGCGAGAAAGAUGAAUUACGCUAUAGGAAUUGAUUUUCCUCUUAAGUGCUCAAGUCUCACUUUAAAUUCAACUAUCACGGAUGAGCCAAAUGCCCAGCCCUAAACAAAAAGAUUAACUUAGUAAUUGAUACCUUGUAGAAAGACAAACCGUGAGAUCAGUGAAAGUGGUAAGUUGCCUGGAUAUCACGAAAGUGUCAAGACUCUUCUCUUCACCAUCUUUAAUCAUAUCUUCCAUCAUAUGAAUCUUCAGCAUCUUGAAUUGACGAUCGAAGACAGGCUUGUAGAGAUGACUCAAACGUGUACCACAAUGGCCUCAUAAUAUAGAUGCAAGAUUAUUAUGAUUGAAUGACGAUUCUUCGGAUGCAUAUGUAGGAAUAAACACUGCGUCAUACGAGUUCUCAUAACCAUCAAUUCACUUUCGAAUAGAAAUGGUAAAUUUUCAUUACAAACUGAUCCAAGCACUUCAAGACCUAAUGAGAACAAAGUAAAUCAACACAAAGACAGUGUCCGGACUUUUGAUAGGAUUUAUUUUUUAAAAGGUAUUUCGCAUAUAAACUUCUUAACAUAGAUCUCUACAUAUAUAGACAAAAUGAAAUAAAUACAAAGAUGUGCUUCAUAAGUUCUCAACAAAGCCCAAGUAAUCUCCACAAUAAGGCUUAUUUAUAAGUCCUCUAAUCUGAGUGACUUCAAUGAUUCUUCCAGCCCAAAACAAGGCUUCUCUCCUCCAGAAAAAUAAUUAGGAUUAUUAUAUUAUUAUUUGUUUUGUUUCCUCGAAUAAAAAAGAGAAUCCGAGAACUUUUUAAGACAAAAGCCAAAUCUUCGAAACCUUAUGAGAUGUGAUAGGGUUACAAGGGUAAAACAGGAACUCAGAAUAAAAAUAAGUUAAUCGAGAAAGCUCCAAAUAAACACCACUCGUCCGCCUCUCUGUCUCUCACCAAAAUAAAAAACUCAAUCUCUCUCUCUCUCUCUCCAUCGAGAAACACUAAACUGCUAUAAUCAUUACCUCUCUUCGAUUUCUCAAACCCUAUCUGGCUCUCUACCCAUAUGCUUCAGAUCCGCAUUAAAAAAGCUAAGUUUUUUGUUAUGUCCUUCUUUCUUAUUUGAUCAGUUUGUUCUUGUUUCACGAUUUUAACCUGAGAUUUUUUAUAUAUUUUCUCCAGAUCUGCUAUCCGCAGUCAUCUGUUCAUAGGAAAAGGCAAGUUUUUUUUCCAUCUCUACUUCAGAUCUGAAAAAGAUGGAUUGUUCUUCUUGUGUUGUCCGGUUUCAUCAAUUUAAUCUGUUCUUUGUUAUUAUAUUUUACAGAUCUGGCUUUACUUUUAGAGAUUAUCUCAGAUCCAGCCUUUUACCCAAUUGAAGGCAAGUUCACAUACUCUGUUUUUUUUGUCUUGGUUUUAAUUUCUCGGUUUUUUACAUGUAACAGAUGUUUUAAGCAUGAUUUUUUGUUUAAACAGUUUGUUUUUCCUACCCUUAAAACUUCUCUGAAUUAAUAUCCCAUUUAUAUGACCACUCUAAUGUCUUCUUAUACGACUACGCAAGUGUUGCAUAUUCUUGACCUUUUCACA